rnacentral:rRNA from 1 species
AGUGAACGCUGGCGGCAGGCCUAACACAUGCAAGUCGAGCGGCAGCGCGGGGGCAACCCUGGCGGCGAGCGGCGGACGGGUGAGGAAUGCAUCGGAAUCUGCCUUGUUGUGGGGGAUAACGUAGGGAAACUUACGCUAAUACCGCAUGAGACCGUAAGGUGAAAGAGGGGGACCCGCGAGGGCCUCUCGCGACAAGAUGAGCCGAUGCCGGAUUAGCUAGUUGGUGGGGUAAAGGCCCACCAAGGCGACGAUCCGUAGCUGGUCUGAGAGGAUGAUCAGCCACACUGGAACUGAGACACGGUCCAGACUCCUACGGGAGGCAGCAGUGGGGAAUAUUGGACAAUGGGCGCAAGCCUGAUCCAGCCAUGCCGCGUGUGUGAAGAAGGCCUCGGUUGU